rnacentral:rRNA from 1 species
AGAGUUGAUCCUGCUCAGGAUGACCGCUGGCGCACGCUAACACAUGCAGUCGAACGAGUCCAUUGAGCUUGCUCCGGAAGAUCUAGUGGCGAACGGGUGCGUAACACGUGAGAAACCUGCCCUGAACUUCGGAAUAACAGUUGGAAACGACUGCUAAUGCCGAAUACCACCGUCACCCCGCAUGGGGAGACGUUAAAAGGUCAGCCGGUUCAGGAGGGUCUCACGGCCUAUCAGCUUGUUGGAGAAGUAACGGCUCACCAAGGCAUCGACGGGUAGCUGGUCUGAGAGGAUGAUCAGCCACACUGGAACUGAGACACGGUCCAGACUCCUACGGGAGGCAGCAGUGGGGAAUCUUGCACAAUGGGCGAAAGCCUGAUGCAGCGAUGCCGCGUGCGGGAAGAAGGCCCUAGGGUUGUAAACCGCUUUCAGGAGGGAAGAAAAUGACGGUACCUCAGAAGAAGGUGCGGCCAACUACGUGCCAGCAGCCGCGGUAACACGUAGGCACCAAGCGUUAUCCGGAUUUAUUGGGCGUAAAGAGCUCGUAGGCGGUUCAGUCAGUCGGGUGUGAAAACUUGAGGCUUAACCUCAAGAGGUCACUCGAUACUGCUGUGACUAGAGUGCGGUAGGGGAGCGGGGAAUUCCUGGUGUAGCGGUGAAAUGCGCAGAUAUCAGGAGGAACACCAGUGGCGAAGGCGCCGCUCUGGGCCGUAACUGACGCUGAGGAGCGAAAGCAUGGGUAGCAAACAGGAUUAGAUACCCUGGUAGUC